AAUGAACGCUGGCGGCAUGCCUAACACAUGCAAGUCGAACGAACACACCGGGUGUAUUGUCGCCCGGCUGUGUAACCGGAGGGAACCUGCCCUCAGGUUUGGAAUAACUACCCGACUGGGGUGAUUAUACCGGACAAGGUCUUCUACCCAAAAAUUUAUUGCGUUUGGUUGUUCACUAGUUGGAUUAGCUUGUUGUUAGGGUAAUAGACUACCAAGGCGACCAUUCAUAGCUUGUCUGAGAGAAUGAUCAGCGACACUGGGAGUGAGACACGGCCCAGACUCCUACGGGAGGCAGCAGUGGGGAAUAGUGGACAAUGGGCGGAAGGCUGAUCCAGCAAUGCCGCGUGAGUGAUGAAGGCCUUAGGGUUGUAAAGCUCUUUUACCCGGGAUGAUAAUGACAGUACCGGGAGAAUAAGCUCCGGCUAACUCCGUG
rnacentral:rRNA from 1 species